CCCGCCCGGGCAGCGGCGCAGCCCCGGCCCCGGCCGCGGCCCUGUGAGGGUUGGGCUUCCCGCCGGUCUGCGCCCUGCGCGCCUCACCUGGCCUGUGGAGCUGCCCGUGAGUGCGCUGCCUCAGCCCAUGGCUGCGCUCCCUCCCCAGGCUGUCAGUUACUUUCUCCACUGCAUCCCUGCGCGGUUUCCUCUUGAAAUGGCAGACCCUCUUUCCCCUAGCAUAAACAUGUUUUCAAGCUUUCUCAUGUAUUUUUUGGACCUUCCAUUUUACUUCAUGAUGAUUACCUGUUUUCUGCUGGUUUUCUCCCCUCGCAGCCAGUCCAGCAAGAUGAGUUUCCAGGCCUGGCUGCCCCUGCCGCUGCCCGAGCAGCUGGUGGUGUUCGGGCUGGGAGACUGGAGCUGUUACUCCGCGGACACGAGCAUCGCAGUGGAUGUGCUGGUGUCCCCAGGCAUCGCACCGCAGCGGGUCGGCAUGCUGGAGCCCACCCGCAGGUCGUGGCGGGGGCUGGUGCUGCUGGGGUGUCAGGAGGGGUGUCCUGGACAAGCAUUCUUCUCUGUGGUGCUGCCUGGUUCUGCUGGUGUUGUCCCAAGCUGCUCAGGCCUGCUGGUCCUCCACCAUGGUAUUUCAAGUGAUCCUUUCAGCUUCCUUUUGGCUGCUUUCAGGGCUAGAUCUCUCUUUGACUUUGGGGUGUUAACAGCUAACGUGGAAGCAGUAGUUUUCCUCUGGUCAGUGUCACUUGUGGGCUGAAAACCCAUGGUCCCCUGUGCAGGUCUCUGGUGUGGGAAGGUGACUGGAGAAAGGAUGUUUUUAUGGCCUCAUUGGAAGAGAUGGACAAAGGCAACUCUGUGAAGCUUAUCCUGACUGUCAAUGGACAGUUGCUACGAGGUGUCUCCAGCAGUACGCCUGUCCACCCUUUCCUUGUCCCGGAGACCACACAGUCACCAGUGCUUCCUGCAGAUGAGAUGCCCCUUGGCCAGGACCUAGAGGAUCCUACUGCAGUUAAGAGUCAGAGCUCAGAGGUGACUGCUAGAGCAUCCAGGCCUGGGAGGAAGGAUGCUCACCCACCGCUGAGGACCCUGGUGGUACCCUGUGCUCUGAAGCCACCAUCUGGCAAGGUGGAAGCCAGUGAGGCCUGGAGGGAGAGUCCUGUCCACCUCAAGAAGCCCAGGAAAGUUUUAUUCGAGCCCACAGCAUCUGAGAGAGAUCUUGAUGAAGAAGAUCUGGCAGUAGAGGAGUUGCAAGGCAGUCCCAGCCCACGGUGGUGCCAUGCCAUGUGCCUCAGUGACCUGGGGACAGCUGUUCUGAUUGGUGGAGAAGGUGCUGAUCAGCAGCCCUGCAAGGAUGCAUUCUGGAAGCUGGAAAUUGGUGGGAACUAUCAAAAGCAAUGGGAGCAGUGGGACCCGAGGGCAACUCAUGCAGGUGGGAGGGGGUACUGAAGGGUCUGUGCAAAGGUGUCACAUCUCCUAGGAUGGUCACCAGGCUGAGCUGACGACACAGGCUGCCAUGAAAGGCUGUGGGGUUGUAUGUGAGAACCCUCCAGGACCUAAGACAGUGAUUUCUGGCUUCCAGUGGGUUUCCAGCUACAGAAUGCCAUGCCAUUGUGCUUGCGUGGUCACACAGCUACCUACGACCCAGACACCAAGCGUAUCUACAUCUUUGGGGGCAUAAGGGAGGACAAAACCAACAGCAGCAUCUACAUUCUAGACACAAUCACUUGGAAAUGGCUCCUAGUGGCUGCUAAAGGGAGGAUGCCAGUGCUCAGCUACCACAGUGCAACUAUCUACUGCAAGGAGCUCUUUGUUUUUGGAGGGACUUCCCCCCAGAAGGCAUCAAUGGCAGCUGGACCCUGCAGCAAUGUGCUCUAUAUCUUCAAUCCAGAGCAUGAAAUUUGGUAUCAGCCCAUCUCGGAAGGGGAGAAGCCUCUGCCUAGGCUUGGGCAUUCAGCUACUUUACUGAAGAACAAGCUGCUGAUUUUUGGGGGUCGGAGGGCUUCUCUCUACCUCAGUGACAUGCACAUCCUAGAUCUGGGUUUCAUGGAGUACACACCAGUCCCCCUCCUCGCAGGACAGCCUUCUGCACGUUGUUUUCAUGCAGCUCUGGCUGUGUCGGACCAGAAGGUUCUCAUCAGUGGAGGUUGCAAUACCAGGGGAGCCCUGCAGGAUGCAUUUGUCUUCCACCUAGAUACUCUUUCAUGGAGCACGGUGAUCCACCAUGACCUCUGCUCUGUGCCCCGAGCUGGCCAUACGUUGCUUGACCUAUGUCCUGCCCGCCUGAUGGAUGUGGACAAGGAGAAUAAAAAGGAGCAUAACCUGCACACGGUGUUGGUCUUUGGGGGCUCCAACUGUGCUGGGACCUUCUACAACAGCACAGUCAAGAUCCAGCUGGACCUAGGAUAAUGCAGAAUACUCAGAAUAAGCCUGGAACAGCAAAGGCUCUUCACCAGCCUGAAUACAGACAUGGAUUGCAAUAAAUGAGUCCAAGCAAUGUGGCAGUCCAAGUAUGUAUAUGUAGGUGAAUGCUUUCAUGAUCACAAGAGAUUCUGAAGGCUGUGGGUGUUUCCCUCUUAAGGUAGCUAAGCCAGCACUGGACUGGCAGAAAUUCCCUCUGAUAUCCCUGGCUUUCGUAUGUGGGCUUGGGUGCCAAAACAUUCAGUGGGAUCUGAGCUGAGCCUGCAGAGGAACACAGUCACAGGUUUCUGGGCUGGAAUUCCCAGGGUGCUUUCAGCUCUGAAGGUAACUCAGGUUUCACUUGGGAUGAGUGGAAUGGGAUU